AAUUGUUUUAUAUCUUAAUUUUUAAAGAUAAACCAUAAAAAUAAAAUUUUCAGCUAAAUUAAUAAGAAAAUAAUCAUAUUAAAGUUAAAUCUUUAACUCUAUUUAUACUAAACACACAAAAACAAAAACAAAAACAAAAUUGGUCAAAAAUAAGAUCUUUGCAAUUUUGGCAGUUUGCAUAACAUACUUCUCUAGAAGUCUUUUGGAGAAGUUUGCUAAUGAAAUCCGAAGGCUUAUAUUGUCUUCAAAUCUGAAAGCCUACAAAGCGAAAAACGCUAAAAUGAAUUUAAACCAGAGAAAAUCUUUUAAAAUAGAACCUUUUAUGCUUCAGUAAUGAACAAAACAAUCACAUUAAGUUGAAUCCAUUGUUUCGUUUGAAUCAAACACAGAAAACAUAC
rnacentral:lncRNA from 1 species